rnacentral:rRNA from 1 species
CUGACUGCUAUCGGAUGAUACUAAGCCAUGCGAGUCUUUGCAGUAAUGCAAGGCAUACGGCUCAGUAACACGUAGUCAACCUACCCUAUGGACGAGAAUAAUCUCGGGAAACUGGGCAUAAUUCUUGAUAGAUCAUAAUGCCUGGAAUGGUUUAUGGUUAAAAUGAUUCGUCGCCAUAGGAUGGGACUGCGGCCUAUCAGCUUGUUGGUGAGGUAAUGGCCCACCAAGGCGAUUACAGGUACGGGCUCUGAGAGGAGAAGCCCGGAGAUGGGUACUGAGACACGGACCCAGGCCCUAUGGGGCGCAGCAGGCGAGAAAACUUUGCAAUGUGCGAAAGCACGACAAGGUUAAUCCGAGUGAUUUCUGCUAAAGAAAUCUUUUGCCAGUCAUAAAACCACUGGUGAAUAAGGGGUGGGCAAGUUCUGGUGUCAGCCGCCGCGGUAAAACCAGCACCUCAAGUGGUCAGGAUGAUUAUUGGGCCUAAAGCAUCCGUAGCCGGCUUUGUAAGUUUUCGGUUAAAUCCAUGUGCUCAACGCAUGGGCUGCCGAAAAUACUGCAUGGCUAGGGAGUGGGAGAGGUAGACGGUACUCAGUAGGAAGGGGUAAAAUCCUUUGAUCUAUUGAUGACCACCUGUGGCGAAGGCGGUCUACCAGAACACGUUCGACGGUGAGGGAUGAAAGCUGGGGGAGCAAACCGGAUUAGAUACCCGGGUAGUCCCAGCUGUAAACGAUGCAGACUCGAUGAUGCAUUGGCAUAAUAGCCAGUGCAGUG